rnacentral:misc_RNA from 1 species
AACAAGGCGUACCUGCGGACCUGCGGAGGGAUCAUUACCGAGUUAUACAACUCAUCAACCCCUGUGAACUUACCUACAACGUUGCUUCGGCGGGAACAGACGGCCCCGUAAAACGGGCCGCCCCCGCCAGAGGACCCCUAACUCUGUUUUUAUAAUGUUUUUCUGAGUAAACAAGCAAAUAAAUUAAAACUUUCAACAAUGGAUCU